rnacentral:rRNA from 1 species
UGAGGAAUAUUGGUCAAUGGGCGAGAGCCUGAACCAGCCAAGUAGCUGUGCAGGAUGACGCGCCCUAUGGGUUGUAAACUGCUUUUAUGACGGGGGAUAAAGUGAGGCCACGUGUGACCGUUUUGUCAGGUUACCGGCAAAGAGAUAAGGCGGGCG